CUAGAUGUUAUUUCCACAUUGCACAUUAUUUAGGAGGCUUGUGACAUUUUGGUUUAGCAUACGGGUAAGAAGUGGUUUGAUUUAUAGCACCACACACCUGGAUUGCGACAUAAAACUGCAAGAAAUCCAGUCUUGACUCUUUUAAAGCAGUCAGCUCUCACGUAUCAGGAGACCGAGGUUGCCGACUGUCUAACUUCGUCCUCUUCUUUCUCGUUAGGCCAUUUUGUGGUUUCUUUGUACUUAAUACACGGGUGGCCAAGAAAGACAAGACUGUAGACAUUUAGUUCUGGCUAGAAGUGUUGCUCGUCAACAGCGAAAUGUGAGGAGGAGGAAGCUGGAUCUAAUGAUUUAAAUCAAGUGCUUGCAUUGUCCUCUAUACCUCGAGCGUGAUCUGACAAGUGGGUUACGGUCAGGAUCAGACCAGGUGUUUUGGAUAAAAUGAGUAAGUUUGCUCUGUCCUGGCAAACCCUGUGCCCUGCUCACGGUCAGAUUCCUCCUGCCCCUUUCUCUAUCAGACAAUGCUCUAGAGACUUGAUCUGAGGAGUAUAUACACGCAGGUGUAAAGCACUUCUAAGGUUUACUAAACAACCCACCCCAGAGGUAGCUGCAAUUUAACUCUGGGCUCGAGCCAAAGGAAUCAACCUCUAAUUCCAGAAGUUGGGGUCUGUAUGUAGCAAGCUGUAUCAGGGAAAGGAUAUAAAUGACCAAGCAGGAAGUUCUUUAAGUCCACGAAAACAGGCUGCACGGAUGGCAGCCUUCUCUCCUCUGCUCAAGGUCAGCCUUGGCCGUAAUUAAAAGUCACCAGGGGGCUGGCCUUGUGGCGCAGCGGUUAAGUGCGCACGUUCUGCUUCAGUGGCCCGGGGUUUGCCAGUUCGGAUCCCGGGUACAGACAUGGCAUCACUUGACAAGUCAUGCUGUGGUAGGUGUCCCACAUAUAAGGUGGAGGAAGAUGGGCACGGAUGUUGGCUCAGGGCCAAAACCAUCCCGCUGGCACCUUGAUCUUGGACUUCCAGCCUCCAGAUCUGUGAG
rnacentral:lncRNA from 1 species